AGUAACGCGUGAGGAACCUGCCUCAAAGAGGGGGACAACAGUUGGAAACGACUGCUGAUACCGCAUAAGCCCACGGCUCGGCAUCGAGCAGAGGGAAAAGGAGCAAUCCGCUUUGAGAUGGCCUCGCGUCCGAUUAGCUAGUUGGUGAGGUAAUGGCCCACCAAGGCGACGAUCGGUAGCCGGACUGAGAGGUUGAACGGCCACAUUGGGACUGAGACACGGCCCAG
rnacentral:rRNA from 1 species